rnacentral:rRNA from 1 species
CUAGCGGGAUGCUUUACACAUGCAUGUCGAACGGCAGCACGACUUCGGUCUGCGGCGAGUGGCGAACGGGUGAGUAGUGCAUCGGAACGUGCCUAGUAGCGGGGAUAACUACGCGAAAGGUAGCUAAUACCGCAUACGCCCUUCGGGGGAAAGCGGGGGACCUUUCGCCUCGCAAUUAUUAGAGCGGCCGAUAUCGGAUUAGCUAGUUGGUGGGGUAACGGCUCACCAAGGAGUGACGAUCCGUAGCUGGUUUCCAGAGGACGACCAGCCACACUGGGACUGGAGACAUGGCCCAGACUCCCACGGGAGGCAGCAGUGGGGAAUUUUGGACAAUGGGGGAAACCCUGAUCCAGCCAUCCCGCGUGCGAUGAAGGCCUUCGCUGUAAAGCACUUUUUGGCAGGAGAAACGGCACGGGAUAAUACCCCGCGCAUCUGACGGUACCUGCAGAAUAAGCACCGGCUAACUACGUGCCAGCAGCCGCGGUAAUACGUAGGGUGCAAGCGUUAAUCGGAAUUACUGGGCGUAAAGCGUGCGCAGGCGGUUCGGAAAGAAAGCAGAUGUGAAAUCCCAGAGCUUAACUUUGAACUGCAUUUUUAACUACCGAGCUAGAGUGUGUCAGAGGGAGGUGGAAUUCGCGUGUAGCAGUGAAAUGCGUAGAUAUAUGCGGAGGAAUACCGAUGGCGAAGGCAGCCUCCUGGGAUAACACUGACGUCGGCGCACGAAAGCGUGGGGAGCAACAGGAUUAGAUACCCUGGUAGUCCACGCCCUAAACGAUGUCAACUUAGCUGUUGGGGCCUUCGCCUGCAGCGCAGCUAACGCGUGAAGUUGACCGCCUGGGGAGUACGGUCGCAAGAUUAAAACUCAAAGGAAUUGGACGGGGACCCGCACAAGCGGUGGAUGAGCGACGACCUGAUGCAACGCGAAAACCCACUCACCCUUGACAUGUCUGGAAUCCCCGAAGAGAUUUGGGAGUGCUCGCAAGAGAACCGGAACACAGGUGCUGCAUGGCUGUCGUCAGCUCGUGUCGUGAGAUGCUGGGUUAAGUCCUCCAACGAGCGCAACCCUUGUCAUUAGUUGCUACGAAAGGGCACUCAAUGAGACUGCCGGUGACAAACCGGAGGAAGGUGGGAUGACGUCAAGUCCCAUGGCCUGGCGGCAGGGCUUCACACGUCAUACAAUGGUCGGGACAGUGGCCGCCAACCCGCGAGGGGGAGCCAAUCCCAGAAACCCGGAUCGGGGUCCGGAUCGCAGUCUGCAACUCGACUGCGUGAAGUCGGAAUCGCUAGUAAUCGCGGAUCAGCAUGUCGCGGUGAAUACGUUCCCGGGUCUUGUACACACCGCCUGUCACACCAGUGGAGUGGGUUUUACCAGAAGUGGGUUAGCCCAACCGUAAGGAGGGCGAUUACCACGGUAGGAUUCAUGACUGGGGUGAAGUCGUAACAAGGUAA